CAGACGGGUCCAUCGCGGCGUGUGGCAACACCCUCCAGAGGAGGACACCGCGUCUGUCUAGGGGAGAAACCGAGGCAUGGGAUUCACAGAGAAACCGUCACUUUUAAGGAAAGAAGUUUGCCAGAGGAACAAGGGAAGUGAAGGCAUGUGACUGAGGCGGAGAGGACAUACGUGCCAAGUCAGAGAAGCACAGGGAAGGAUGGCACAGUCUGGGGAACUGGUCACAGACGAGGCAACAAAAGCCCAGACAUUUUGAAGAACUAAGGCUUUUUGACUCCAUUCUGCAAAUCCUGUCCCAUCCAUAGAAGAAAUCAAAAGUCUGAGAAACAAAACCGAGCCUCCCCUCUCUCUUUCUGCCCUCCUCCAGUUUGCAUCUUACACCGUCUGGACCCUUGUCGUGGUCCCUCUGACCUGCUAGGGAGCACCAGCCUCCUGCGAGAGGAGUCAAGGGCUGAAGCUUCCUGCCUACCAAGGCAUAAGCAAAUGCCAAGACCAAUCUUCAUUUUGAAGAAACCCCAUUGGGAAGCCUGGUAUCUAGCCUGGUCUUCGCGCCUCCUUGUGGUGUGACCUUGAGCAUGGGUCUUCCUGUUUCUGGGCUUCAUAGUCCUCAUCUGUAACAUGAAGAACUUGGACCAGAAUCUGCAGGUUGUAAACUCAAGUAUUUUUGGGUCUAGAUAGUUGAUGUAAACCCAUGAGGCAGGCUGGAUGGGGACUAUAGGGAGAGAGCAAAACCUGCCCUGUCCAAAACAGUGGAAUUUAUUGAAUUCCAGCCAGUUGCCAUCAUGGUGGCCUGUGGGCUCAGGGUUAUGAGAGCUUCUGAUUCGCUUUCAAAGAAAUACUAAGAAAUCUUUAUGUUCAAUCCCCUGCUUAAGCUAAUAUUAAUCUAAUGAUAUGAUGAUGCUGAUGAUGAUGCAAAGGAAGAAAACAUGAAUGUGGGCUGAAUGUAGCUCACAGGCUAUUUCUUUGUGAUCUGUGAGCUAAAUGGUCUGUAAGGCUCUAAUCACAUUCUGUGAUUUCUAAAUGAAAAUCGACCCAUUAAGAAACACAAGCACCGGCAUUCCUGCACUAGCUGAAAAUUCUCUUUGGAAAGUAAACCCAAAUGGCAUCUUUCCUAUUUUUCCUUCCUAGUACUUUGCUAUGCAUCAAUUUCUGGGGUUUCUGGGAAACUGUACCCCCUCCAAAAUCUGAUGAUCCUGUUUGAAAGAUCACCUGCUUUAUAGAGAAACAGUGCCCUCUGCUGGAAGAGUAAUGCAAAAAGACGCCUUUGGGGCUGAGAUCAUUUAAAAGGGGAAAAGUGGAUUUGUUUGUUUUCACUUGAAAUAGAUUUCAUGAAGAAUAAUAAAUAAAAUAUAAACGCA